GUACAUCCAUAGCAGUGCUGCUUCACUACCUCUUCACAUCAACAUUCUCCUGGAUGCUGAUGGAAGGCAUAUACAUACUGAUGCAGGCCCGAGCGGCCUACGGGAAGGGAGGCAAGACAUGGAUGUAUAUGGUAGCUGGAUGGGGUUCACCUCUUGUAAUUAUUGCAGUGUCUCUUGGGCUGCGCCUAGAUGGUUAUGGAACAGAUGAUUAUUGUUGGCUAUCUGUUGAGAACGGAUUCAUGUGGGCCUUUGCUAGCCCUGUACUGGCAGUGUU